rnacentral:rRNA from 1 species
GACAGAGGUGCCGAGCGUUAGGCGGAAUCACUGGGCUUAAAGCGUGUGUAGGCGGACUUCUAAGUACCUUGUGAAAUCCCACGGCUCAACCGUGGAACUGCUUGGUAUACUGGUUGUCUUGAGCCACUUAGGGGCAGUCGGAACAGACGGUGGAGCGGUGAAAUGCGUAGAUAUUGGGAAGAACACCGGUGGCGAAGGCGGCGACCUGGUCCAUUACUGACGCUGAGGCGCGACAGCGUGGGGAGCAAACAGG